UUUUAUAUAGUUUAAUUUAAAACUUUACAUUUUCACUGUAAAAAAAGCAGGCUUUUCCUACUUAUAAAAU
rnacentral:tRNA from 1 species